rnacentral:ncRNA from 1 species
AUAAUAGUCAUCAGAAGAGUAAUUCUUCCUUUCUUUUUAGAGAGCUGGUGGUAGGUGUAAACCAGAAUGAAGGUGGAAUGAAUGGGCUGAGGAAAAUUGACGAGUAACGUGAACACAUAAACGUUAGGUUUGGCACCCCUUACCGUGCAACUUCUUUGUUGAGAAGUUUUGAGAUGAUAGCUUUACAAAGAGUUAUCAACUGAGGUGGUACCGCGUAUCAAAAGUGAUUAACGCCCUCACG